CCUACGAGCGGCUGCAGUGAGGAAUAUUGGUCACUGGGCGCGAGCCUGAACCAGCCAAGUAGCGUGAAGGAUGACUGCCCUACGGGUUGUAAACUUCUUUUAUAAAGGAAUAAAGUGAGGCACGUGUGCCUUUUUGUAUUUACUUUAUGAAUAAGGCUCGGCUAACUCCGUGCCAGCAGCCGCGGUAAUACGGAGGAUCCGAGCGUUAUCCGGAUUUAUUGGGUUUAACGGGAGCGUAGAUGGGUUGUUAAGUCAGUUGUGAAAGUUUGCGGCUCAACCGUAAAAUUGCAAUUGAUACUGGCAGUCUUGAGUACAGUUGAGGUAGGCGGAAUUCGUGGUGUAGCGGUGAAAUGCUUAGAUAUCACGAAGAACUCCGAUUGCGAAGGCAGCUUACUAAACUGCCACUGACAUUGAUGCUCGAAAGUGUGGGUAUCAAACAGGAUUAGAUACCCGGGUAGUC
rnacentral:rRNA from 1 species